rnacentral:rRNA from 1 species
GACGAACGCUGGCGGCGUGCUUAACACAUGCAAGUCGAACGAAGAGCGAUGGAAGCUUGCUUCUAUCAAUCUUAGUGGCGAACGGGUGAGUAACGCGUAAUCAACCUGCCCUUCAGAGGGGGACAACAGUUGGAAACGACUGCUAAUACCGCAUGCGAUCUAAACUCGGCAUCGAGGAUAGAUGAAAGGUGGCCUCUACAUGUAAGCUAUCACUGAAGGAGGGGAUUGCAUCUGAUUAGCUAGUUGGAGGGGUAACGGCCCACCAAGGCGAUGAUCAGUAGCCGGCCUGAGAGGAUGAACGGCCACAUUGGGACUGAGACACGGCCCAGACUCCUACGGGAGGCAGCAGUGGGGAAUCUUCCGCAAUGGACGAAAGUCUGACGGAGCAACGCCGCGUGAGUGAUGACGGCCUUCGGGUUGUAAAGCUCUGUUAAUCGGGACGAAAGGCCUUCUUGCGAAUAGGGAGAAGGAUUGACGGUACCGGAAGAGAAAGCCACGGCUAACUACGUG